rnacentral:lncRNA from 1 species
AUGAGCAUUUGGGGAUGGGUGCUGCAGAGGGUGAAGGAGCAGGGAUGCCAGCAGUGGCGGGGCCUUCAUGGGCAGACACUCCUCUGCCAGCCAAGGUGUGGAGGAACACUGGGCUCCACCCAGACCAGGACCUCAACAGGGUCAGGGAAAAAGCCAGUCAGGACACUUUCCUGCCAUCCCACCUGGAGUUUUGUGUUCUCUGUGGGGCAGCAGCUUGAUUUCCUGGUCCCAGGGAUUCUGCUUCAGGCUCUGGAGAACUGGGUGAGCAUAGACGAAGGUGGGAGAUGGGAGAAAUCAGUCACUGAUCUAAGCACAGAAACUGGGCUCUGAAGGACAAGCAGGUCUCCACUGUCCCUGCAGGAGGAGUGACAACUCGAUGGAGGGGCUGAGACAACAGAGGGACUCCAAGGAGAAAGCUGGCUUCUAAAAUAGGGAAUGUUCAAACAAAACUGCCAAUCCCAAUCUGGGAAAGCCACCAGAAUCCCUCCCUCAAGUCGUCUUCCACCCCAUCCAGGAACAGCCUGUGCAUGAGGAAAUCCUUGAUAACUGCACUUCUGAGUAUUUCCAGAACAUAUUAGAGCAUUGACUGCAGAGGAAGCCAGGAUGUACAGAGGUACACAGUUUGAGGUCAGAAAAUUCAAGGAUCAAAUUCUGGCUUUGCCACUCACAGGCUGAAGGUGGGCAGUCUGGAGGCUCUAUCCCAGUCCCUAGGGCCAUAAAACAGAGAGAAUGGCCUCUACCCCACAUGCUGAGAAGGCUGAAUGGAAUCAUCUGUGUAGAGGGUCCACCCCAAUAGCUAGCACUUGUUGAUGGCCAACAAAUGGUUAUGUUUACUGCUGGCUGGCUAUACACACUGAAGAAGGAUGUCACCCAAUUGAAAGGGCAUAGAUUUUGGAAACUGAGCGACUGAGCUCAAAUUCCACUUCUGUCUCUUGGUAACUGUAUGAUUCUGGGCAAGUUUCUUACUGCAAGCAUAACCACCAGUUCCGACAGCUACCAUUCACAAGGGGCUUAUUAUGUGCCCAGGGCUCUGGCUAUGGUGCUGUCUUCUUAUUUCUUACAAAGGGCCAAGUCACCCACUAAAACACUUACCCCUAGAAGCAGCAAUGAGAUUUGAAAUCAGGUUCGUGAACUUAGUCCACACUUGUGACCAGUAUAUUUCCUCACCAGACUGUUUCACCUAACCAUCUGAGCCCCUGUCCCUGCUGUGUAAAAUAGGGGUGAUAACGCCCACCUCCUGGAUUUAGGAAAAGAAUGAUAGAAGGUAAUCCAUGUAUGACUCCCCCAAAACAGCAAUCUUCUUACUAUCAUUGGGCUCAACAGGCAACAU